rfam:Glycine soja cultivar W05 scaffold4739_5, whole genome shotgun sequence.
AAACUAUGGUGGGGGCAUCUACGCAACAAAGACUUGAAUCUCUCCCAUGUUUCAUAGAAAGGUUCAUUAGACCCUUGGGAAAAAGUUGCAAUGGCUGAUUUU